ACGGAGACCUCCAGAGCUUCGUUCCGUCCCCCUCUAGUUCUUAGUGUCAGCUUAUCGUGCAGAGGCGGGGCUUCCAGCACGGCUGCUUCUUACUAAAUCUCAACCGAGUCUUCCUUGGGGAUUGCAAGCCACACUUCGGCGGCUGCCCAACUUUUCCUGUAGGGAGCAUCAGUUUUUCCAUCCUCAAAGCCCCAGCAGACGGGGUUUGGGGAGAGCCGGGCUACCAGUAGAGAGGAAGAGCUGCCUGGGCACGGAAAGCAAAAUCAGCUUCGAGAGGCACUUUGCAAUCCUGCAAGACCGAGUUGCACGUUCACUUGCAUUGACUGGUUCGUUAAGUAUUUACAGAAUGCUCCUCAGUGUGCUCCCUUUGAGGCCUGGAGAGGAGCUGGAUAAAACGUGCCACAGAUUGGCCAAACUCAUCCAGUGUCUCCCAAUGAUGCCUUGCACAUUCCUGCCAGAGUCCAUCCUUCCAAACACUUCCUGCCCCUUUCAACCACUUUCCCACCGAGCAAGAUCUCAUCCCAGUUUUCCCUGGCUGCCCAAUUUGCUGGGGUUUUUCCUUUGAACAAUUUUAUUCUAUGCCUCGCUUGUUCGUCCAAGUAGAUUAUAAAAUACAGGAGGGCAGGAACCACCCAUUGACUUCUUUUUGUUCCCCACUCUUCCAAAAAUACCGCCUUGCAGAGAAGGAACUCAUUAAACAUGUGAUUGA